rnacentral:lncRNA from 1 species
AGCAUUGAUGGUGAGCUCCCACGUGACCGUCAACAUCAACUGUGCGAGGCAAUGCAACAAAAUUAUUGCACCAUUGAAUUAGUUCAACCAUCGUGAAGGAAAGAACAGUUAAGGCCAAUCGAUUUUAGGUAAUUCCAACCCACGGUGUCGAUGGGUAGCGUCUAAACUGCCACAUCAUCUAGACACCAUCUCUAGAAAAUAUACUACCCCCAACUUAUCGUUUCUUAUCGUGAGCCCAUAAUAAAUUACCACCCUACUUUCUCCUCCGUUUGAGUACUUCAACCACCACACCCC